CCUUAAUCAGGGGGAUAGCCCGAAGAAAUUCGGAUUAACACCGCAUAAAAUCACAGUAUAGCAUUGUACAAUGAUCAAAUAUUUAUAGGAUUAAGAUGGGCAUGCGUGACAUUAGUUAGUUGGCGGGGUAACGGCCCACCAAGACCACGAUGUCUAGGGGAUCUGAGAGGAUGACCCCCCACACUGGUACUGAGACACGGACCAGACUCCUACGGGAGGCAGCAGUAAGGAAUAUUGGUCAAUGGAGGCAACGCGGAACCAGCCAUGCCGCGUGCAGGAAGACAGCCCUCUGGGUCGUAAACUGCUUUUAUUCGGGAAUAAACCUAUCUACGUGUAGAUAGCUGAAUGUACCGAAGGAAUAAGGAUCGGCUAACUCCGUGCCAGCAGCCGCGGUAAUACGGAGGAUCCAAGCGUUAUCCGGAUUUAUUGGGUUUAAAGGGUGCGUAGGCGGCUUAUUAAGUCAGGGGUGAAAGACGGUGGCUCAACCAUCGCAGUGCCUUUGAUACUGAUGAGCUUGAAUAUACUAGAGGUAGGCGGAAUGUGACAAGUAGCGGU
rnacentral:rRNA from 1 species